GACGUAGGGGGCGAGCGUUGUCCGGAUUUAUUGGGCGUAAAGCGCGCGCAGGCGGCUCGGAAAGUCGGGUGUGAAAACCCGGGGCUCAACCCCGGACCUGCAUCCGAUACUCCCGGGCUAGAGGCAGGUAGGGGAGAGUGGAAUUCCUGGUGUAGCGGUGAAAUGCGCAGAUAUCAGGAGGAACACCGGUGGCGAAGGCG
rnacentral:rRNA from 1 species